rnacentral:rRNA from 1 species
CUGCCAGACUCCUACGGGAGGCAGCAGUGGGGGAUAUUGCACAAUGGGGGAAACCCUGAUGCAGCGACGCCGCGUGAGGGAAGACGGUUUUCGGAUUGUAAACCUCUGUCUUUGGGGACGAAUUGAGACGGUACCCAAGGAGGAAGCUCCGGCUAACUACGUGCCAGCAGCCGCGGUAAUACGUAGGGAGCAAGCGUUGUCCGGAAUUACUGGGUGUAAAGGGAGCGUAGGCGGGGAUGCAAGUUGGGUGUCAAAACUACCGGCUCAACUGGUAGUCGCACUCAAAACUGCAGCUCUUGAGUGAAGUAGAGGCAGGCGGAAUUCCUAGUGUAGCGGUGAAAUGCGUAGAUAUUAGGAGGAACACCAGUGGCGAAGGCGGCCUGCUGGGCUUUUACUGACGCUGAGGCUCGAAAGUGUGGGGAGCACACAGGAUUAGAUACCCCCGUAG